rnacentral:tRNA from 1 species
ACGGGCAUAACUCAGUUUGAUUAGAGUACCUGCUUUGGGAGCAGGGGGUCGCAGGUUUGAGUCCUGUCGCCCGUACCA